rnacentral:lncRNA from 1 species
GAGACCCUGAAGAUAGGGUGUCUCUGCUGCCUCGACUCUUGGAACUGAGAUGGGGGGAAGAUGAUGGCGAGUCAUCGAUAUAGGGCAUCAUAUCAUGAUGUCGCCUCUGUUCUUCAGCACGGUCUGCAUCAUACGCAUAGCUAGGUGGUGUGCCACUGAAUGAGGCAUCUGCAUCUCCAUGGAAGAGGCUGUCUUGGUGACAUCUCCCAGAAGGCAAAUCUCCAUCACUUGGCCAGAUCUGUCCCGUUUU